CAUUCAUGUCCACUCAGUCACUCGGUUAGUAAUCUUCCUCGUGACACCAAAGCACGGAUGCCACCGAACACUGUGAGAUCAUUCAGGCCGCGUAAUGCGCCGCGAAUUGUAGCGACCUUGGCACCAAGACAUGGACCGCGUUCACUCACCCAACCGACGGUUUCGCCCUUGACCUCCGGGCCUGCAGGCCAGCCCGCUGAAGCCACUCCACGCUCUUCAGCAAUCCGUCGCUCCGCUCGUCUCGCAGGACUGGCACCAAGAUCUGCUAGGCAGCCUAGACCUCCUGCUAUUCCUCUGGAACCUAAUUCACCACCACAGGCCGCUCAGACACGACACCCCAAAAGGGUUGGAGGUGCCAAUAGAAGUAGACCACCUCCACUGCGCUUAUAUGACACGGUGGGACCAUCGUCAAGAAAAGGUGCCUUGUGUAAAGACCUCGAAGGACCUCGCGCAAAUGGUCCUGGGAAAGCAACACAGAGAACCCUUGUUGGUAUUUUGAAGAGUCGUGUGUAAAGCCUUUGCCAAACAUUGUAAACAAAUGACCUACAUCGAGCAAAUAAACAUUUGUAAUUCAUCA